ensembl:lncRNA
CAUCUCUCCCUCAGGUCUUGGUGUGGAGUCACCUUCUCUGAUCCUGGCAGGCGUCCCUGUUACACACUCAUUUGGCCCCAACACCGGGCACCUCUCAGUCUGCAUUGUGGCCAAGAGAGUUACAGUCUGCCUAGGUCCUGACUGGCUCCUGAUUAUCACUCAACUUUAAAUGAGAUAAGACUCAAAGAUAAUCAAUGCACAAGGUAGAGUGGGAGUUAAGAGUGCAGACCCUGGAAAAGAUCUGAAAAGACACCUUGCUAAGGAAAACAUACAAGAAGCCAGUAAACAUCAGCAAAAACGGUGCAUGGAUAAUUGGAGUACCUCUUCACAAUGGAUUCUACCCAGGUAAAAAAAGCAAAGAACGACUCUUGAUACAGCACACAGGUGAGUCUCAUAAACACUAUGCUCAGGAAGGAAGCCAGACACUGCUUAGGAAUAACUCCACUAGCCCUUUAAGCCCAGCUGAGCUGGGUCUUUGGUUACAGUUAGCUGACAGCAUCUCAGGACAGGAGGGCACUGCAUUUGGG